UGAGAGGCUCAUUUCUUUUCUCAAAGAAAAACAAGACAAAUAUCCUUUUCCUUCCCAAGACUAUAUCCUUUAUAUUCUUUUGUUGUUGUUGAAAAUACCUUUCCUUAGUGGGAAUUGCUUAGAUGAAGUGCUGAUAUUGGUUAGCUUUGACUUGGCAAAACCAAGAUAUUGGCAAACACCAUGUUUGUCUCCAAAGCUGUUGAAAAUGGCACCCAUCUGUAAGAGCCCAAGGUCCAAGGGCCGACCCCUCACCCCUCAGAUGUGCUUUAUUUACUGAUAAACAUACAGCACCAAGAAUUCUUGACAUUUUCCCAAUCUUUCCAUGCCAGCUCUCUUCUCCAUUUUAUUAGUGAUAUUUAUUUUCAAGUCAACACAUUGGUUUGUGUUGAGACUUGCAGCGUUGGAAUAUAAAGUUCUAUGUGAGGCCCUGAUUUUGAUCUUUCACAAAACCAAGGAGCAGGGUGCGGGCUACAACCUUGAGAACCUGCAGGAGCUACGCCCACACGGGCCUUGGCUGGCAUGACAUUGGACACCCUCCCAGGGGGGCCCCCGGCCUGGGGAAGAGCCUCCUCUCUGCCUGGGAGCCUCAAGGUGUGCAGAGGAGGGAGUUGGCUGGAGCCAGAUGUGUGAAGGCAAUCAGUGUUUCUCUGCAAGGUGACGGUGGCGUGGGGCAGGCAGACACAGGACCAGCAUCCUGGCAGGCAGGGUUCUUGGAUGGCUGGUGGGGAAGACAGGCUGGGAGACUGUCAAUUCAUCGUUCCCCCUCUCCAGGUGGAGGCAUGAAAUUAGAUCAAAGCAUCUUGACUUGGAUAUCUUUGUGUGCGUCUUGGGGCCCUUUGAAGGGUGUCUGUGGGGUUUCCGUGAGGCCAAGGACAGAGGUUCCUUCUCACAAGGAUAGUGUUUACUUUCACAUGGACAGCCCAGACCACCUGGAACCAAGUGCACAGAAGCCCCACCAUCUCCGGGCCUCCCGGGUGUGAUGGGCAAGGGGUCCAAGUCCGCAGGAGCUCCGAGGCUCUUUGUGCUUGAAUCCGUGAGUUUCCUUUCCUUUUUUCCUCCCACUCCUUUUAAUGCUAACGAAUUCCUUGUUUUGGGGCAGGGGCCAGGGUUAUCUCUGCUUCAGUCUUCACCCAAGGUGAGGCCUUUCACGCUUCCAGCUUGAUAUGCCCCUAUCAGGCUCCUCAUACCUUGACCUCUGUCUACCCCUCUACUCCCUCCAAGGUCAAAGCCCAACUUGCCAGGUUGGCAAAUGCUCGCAGGCACCAGUGACCCCAGCGUUCUUCUCUAGGUUCUUGGUUUCCCCCUGAAACUUGGCCUGGAGGUUUCCCACUAGCUUAGCAGCCCUUUGAUGCAUUUAACUUAAUUUUGUUAUUGUUUUAUCCAAAAUUCUUGCUUGUUUUCAGAGGGAAAGGGGGUCUGCCAUUACUGCACAGAGAAUCUGGGACAGUUAUUAUAACCAUAGAAAUUUAUUUUCCAUGUGCUGUCCCAUCUUCUUGAUGAGACAGAUGUUUAACAGCUGGAGAACUGGACCCAUCUUUGUCCCCAUCUUGCCUAGCAACAGAAGGUGGUCACUAAUCAGGGAUUUUCGAGCCCGUUGCUUAAGGCCGUCGUUGACCCAAAGGAUAGUGAGUCCCUGCUCCUCUUCCUGAGGAGAGGCCCAGGUGCCCAGAGGGCCCUCCUGGCUUGGCUGCCUGCAGAGUGGCUGAUGAAAUGUCCGCUGUGUGCACAGGGCACCCAGCCCCGCUGCUCCCCAGGCAGCCCCGCAAACAGCUGUUCCUCUGCCUGCUUCCAGCUGUGGACCUGAGACCGAGAGGCUGAGCCAUCGCCCUGAGCCGCAUGCAGGGGAGUGGCAGGCCCGGACCCAGUGCCCAGACCUGGCUCACGUGACCCUGCUUUUUCCACUGUGUCUGCGGCUCCCUCCCAGGCUCUGUGACCUUGGGCAGCCAUGGCCGUCCUGCGCCCAUUCCCAGCUGUAAAAUGAGAGGCUGGGCUGGCCGAUCUCAAAUGUCCCCUGCCAGCCCGAGAUUCUGUGUUUUGUCCUGCGGUGUGACCGUGACAUGCCUCCAAAGGCAGCUGCCAGUGCUCACGAGGGAGGCCUUUUUCCUGAGUUAAGGCGGGUGGGGGGACUGGGGGUGAGUUGAGGGACUGGGAGGUGGGGGAAGCACACACACGGUCCUCCCCAGCUGUGCCCUCGUGGUGAAUUACCUUCAGUCCCAGGCUCAGUGCUUUGGAAAUGCUCUCAGGCCCAGCACCCAGGCCUGGAACCAGCCUCCAGGCCCCUGGCCCUCCCUUUCUCUACUGGAAUCUUCCAGACCGAGGCAGGUCAGCUGAAAGUCACCGACUCUGCCUUCCACAAACUCGUAGCUGACAGACCAUCCCAUGUCCCCUCCCAGCCCCGUCCCAGGAGGGGAACUCGCUUUGCCUUCCCACCCUCCAGGCCGACUCACUGUCCGUCACUCUCUGGGUCCCACCCACUGUCCCACCAACUUCAUUGGUCUAAAAAUAUGCUCUGGCAUCUUGUUGGAAAGCAGCAGGAAUGAUGGGCCCUGCUGAUAAGGUGAAGAAAGUGACCCGAGGGGGCAAACUUACAGACGGGACAUACUUUGGCAAAAUAACAAAACAGCGGGACCUGAAGGCUGGCUUCCCAAGCGUCCUCGAGGCCUUGUGCCAGGAAGAGGACCCUCGGGCUUAGGGAAGUGAAAACCAGGCUCAGGUCCCUCACCCAGUCCCUUCUGCCCACUUUGGGAGGGAGCCCAAGAAGUCAGCUAGGGGGGGACCUCCCAGUGGGACCUGAGUCCUGAUUGGAACUUUCUCGGGGGGUUUCUUGGGGACAGGACCCCAUGGAAUCCUCUGUGAGUACUCAGGGCCAGGCUCAGGCCCGUAAGAAAGAUGCAGGCAGCUGAGAGAGGUACCCUUUACCCUUCCCCGCCUGUUUUUUUUUUUUGUUUUUUUUUUUUUUUUGAGGCAGAGUCUCGCUCUGUCACCCAGGCUGGAGUGCAGUGGUACAAUCUUGGCUCACUGCAACCUCCGCUUCCUGGGUUCAAAUGAUUUUCCUGCCUCAGCCUCCUGAGUAGCUGGGAGCAUGCACCACCACACCCAGCUAAUUUUUGUAUUUUUAGUAGAGACGGGGUUUCACCAUGUUGGCCAGGCUGGUCUGGAUCUCCUGACCUCAAGUAAUCCGCCCGCCUCAGCCUUCCAAAGUGCCAGCAUUACAGGAGUGAGCCACCGUGCCCAGCCUCCUGUUCACCGCUUGUUCUGAGAGUCUGAGCUGGAAUCCUGGCUCUGCUGGGGGACCUGCACGGAUCACCUCACCUCUCUGCGCCUGUUUUCCAUAGGAAGAAGAAGGCUACCUUCGGAAGGUCACUGUGAGGGUCAGAGGUUACGAAGGUCAACAGGGCGCAUGUCAACGAGUUGUCGCCCUGGCUUUGCCCCUGCUCUGCCCACCCUGCCCUUUCAUUUCUCAUUUGCCCACCUGCACAGCCCACCCCCGGGCCAAGCCCUGCACUGCUGAUGGCUCCGCAGGCCUGGGCAGAGACCCUGGGCCCAACACCUGGAGUCCACCAUGGUCAUGUCUCUUCCUCUCUCUCCAGCUCUCCACUUCCAUCCCAUUGCUUUGCACUUGCUUUUCCUUCUGUAGGGCAACUCCUCCCUUCACUUCUGUUUUUCCUUUAAGGAUUUACUUCAGGCACCACCUCCUCCAGGAAGGCCUCCCUGAUCACUCCUCCCCGUGUUGUGUUCCUCUUCCUUACUCCCUCAGCCCCAGUGCCUCUUGCUGAUUUCACUUUAUUAUAUUUGUUGACUAAGUCAUCUCCCUCACUAGACUGGAAGUUUCUUGGGAAUCUGGAUCUCAUCUGAGGUGAUUAAAACAGUAACUACAGGAAUGAUGGAAUCACCAUUUAAUAACCAUUAUAAUAAUAACCCAUCCAGGUGGAGUCAUCUAAGGAUGCUAAAAUUAGCGGGUGAAAAUUUGAGUAAUAGGAUAUUUACAAAGUCUCAAAGUAUCGCCCAACAAGAUGCUUGUUAAUGACAAAAGGAAACACAGUAACUUUUCAGUGGAGAAAUCUGGCCAACUCCGUAUUCAUCAAGUGAUCAGCAGGAAUGAAAGAGACAUCAACAAAUACCUUCUUCCUCUCAUAAAGACCCUUGUGCUUACCUGGGACCCACUGAGAUCACCUAAGAGAAUCUUGCCAUCUUCAGAUGUUUCAUCACAUUUGCAAAGACCUUUUGCCAUGAAAGGUGACAUGUCUGCAGAUCCUGAGGAUUAGGGCGUGAACAUCUUGGGGGGCACCUGGCUCUGCCACUGGCUGCCGGUGGGGCCUUGGGCAAGUCACUUCACAGCUCCGUGCCUCGGUUUCCCCAUCUGUGAAGAGGGGAUAAUGAUAGGCCUACCUCAUUCGGUUGCUGAAAGGACCGCGAAGGUGACAUCUGUGAGGUCCUGGGGUAGGGCCUGGCUCUUGGUCAGUGCUGCGUGGAGGUUUGUGUUCGUGUGGGCAUGGGGAUGAGCGCUUCUGGGAAAUGGCCCAGGAGGAGGAGUCGGGGGAGGGGAGAGUGAAGUAUCUGCAGAGACAGGAAACCAUCCCUGUGACGGGUGAUACAUUUUCUGAGACUUCCAAGAGGCUGGCUGUGCUGUCCAUGGGCCUGGGGCACGGUUCCCAACACCCAGCCAGGAGCUGCUCAACUCUGGCUCCUAAAAGGCAAAUGUACAGCCCUGGAGGGGAAGCGGGCCUGUGCCCUGGGGCUCACGGGAGGCUCCUGGCGGGAGGGCAACGUGGCUGCCACCCCCAGGGAGAUGUCCUGCUCCAUCGAGCCACGGUGCAGGUGGGGACAUGGAGGCCCAGAGGGGACAAGACGGCCUGGGCGCCACAUUUCCCUGGCUCCUGCCUCUGGCCUGCAGCUGCUUCCACACACCUACUGCAAAUGCCGGUGCUGUGGGCAGUGGCCUUGUUUCUGGAGCCUCCCAUGGCCCUGGCCCAUGUAGCUGAGGGACUGACCGCUUAGGCCAGUAGGCAGGACAGCUGUCCAUCUGUACAUCACUCCUUCUCGAGCCUGGUGCUGCCUGCGCCCACACUCAGAACACGCCUGGCACACCCUGGAGCGAGGGACAGGAGGGCAGGAAGGUGGCCUAAGGCAGCCGUGACCACACGGCCGGUGAGGGGCUGCUCUUGCUUGGAUUCCACCGGUUGACAGAAAGAGGAAUGGCGUGUCUGUCAGGGUCGUGCCCUCUCACGUUGCUGGGAGAUCCCUGCAGUCUGCCCUUGGAAUCCCAGAAACCAGAGUGAGCAAAUCUGUCCGACUUUCAGCAGGGGUCUGUGUGCCGCCCAGAGAUGGGAGUUGGGAGUUCCCCAAGGCCACGGCUCCACCUCCUUGCUCAGCAGAGAAAGGCAGGAGUGGGAGCAACCAGCUCCACACCAAGUACCUGGUGAAGCCUGCCUGCCACGUUGGGCCUGCCAUACCUGUGUGCACAAGGGCAUGUGCUUGUGUCUGUGUGUGUGUGCGCACACAUACAUGUGAGCAGGCACGUGUGUGCACAGGUACAUGUGAGCAGGCAUGUGUGUGCACAUGUGUACGUGUGUGGCACCUGUGUUAGCACAUGUGUAUAUGCAUGUACAAAUACGCAUAUGUGCUUGCACACGUCUGUGUACACACAUACCUGUGUGUGCAUGCAUGAAUGCACCCGUGUGUGUUGCAUGUAUAUGUGAGUGAGCACCUGUGCAUGUCUCUGUAUAUGCAUAUGGGUGUGUGUGCUAUUUGUGUGCACACAUGUACAUGUCUGCGUGUGUGAGUUUCUUGUUACUCCCUCGGACAAUCAGGAGCGGUGGAGGUGGAGGUGGAGACAAAGCCAGAAGUGAGAGAAGCAGAUGUCCCGGGCCUGGGGCCCAUCCUACACCAACUCGGCACCGGCAAAGUCAAGGUUGGCAGAGACAAGGUCGGCAGAGCCAGGAGGCGUCCCAGGACAAUGGCGCCAGCACCUUUGACCUUCUCUGACAAUUAUUUCCCAACUUUUCCCCAUGGAGGGCAUCUUGCCUGUGUCUUUUGGUUUCAAGCCCGUUCUAAAAGCCAGCCUCAUGUCCUUGUGGAAGCUUCAUUUUCCAGUUAGCUCCCCACGGACGCAUACAGGCCAGCGCUCCAUGGAGCCCUUCCCCGCCGGCCAGCUUCCAUCACCCACAGCUUGCCACCCUUCCCCAGGGCUCUGAGGGGACUUCUCUUAAAAGUUCAACAGGAAUUCGAACGGCCGUCCAUUUCCCUAUCAUUUGCUGCAAUCAGGGAACAAAGAUGAUGAUUGUAGCGGCUUGUGGGAAAGGGACACAAAGAAUGUAUUUUUUCCUUUCCUUAUCCGAGCAGGGUCUCUAGGCCCAUGGGCUGCCUGGGAAUUCCGAAGCUGCGGGGAGGAGCUGGGGCAGGGGGUGGGGUGGUCAUCCCCGCAGCACCUCCUGGGCAUCCAUCCUAGCCUGCAUGGCCCAUGCCUGGCCCAUGUGCAUGUGUGGGAUGUACUUGGCCUCUCUUUCUCUCUUCCUGACACAAGCCUCCCUGACCUUCUCCAGGCCCCUUGCUGGCUUCAGCCUCUUCCCAGCCUGCCACCCUCCCUGGGUGCUCUCCGGAUCCCCAGGCGCCAGUGUCUCCCAUGCUGCCUCCAGCUGCCCCCUGCCUCCUGAGCUGCCAACUUGGGUGCCUCACAGGAAUCCCCAAACUGCCCUGAAGCCUGACCUCUCUCAGUGCUCCCUGUCUUGGUGUAGGGCAUCGCCUGCCAGUCAGUUAUUUCUAAGCCAGAAAUCUGUGCGUGGCCUAACAGCCCCUCUGCCCUCCACACCAGUGACCACCUCCUAGGAGUGGCUUCCUCAACACCUUGCCACCCUUGACACUGUCACUGUCACCUGUGCCCUGGCAGGCCGCCUGCUCCCCAAGUAGCUCCCUACUGCACUCCCCUGCCCCUCUCAGCCCUUCUUGCAAAGUGCCUCUGGGCCAGGUGCAGGGGCUCACGCCUAUAAUCCCAGCACUUUGGGAGGCUAAGGCAGGUGGAUCACUUGAGGUCAGGAGUUCGAGACCAUCCUGGCCAACAUGGCAAAACCCUGUCUCUACUAAAAAUACAAAAAUUAGCCGGGCGUAGUGGUGCACGCCUGUAAUCUCAGCUACUUGGGAUGCUGAGGCAGGAGAAUUGCUUGAACCCGGGAGGCGGAGGUUGCAGUGAGUGGAGAUCAAGCCAUUGCACUCCAGCUGGAGCGAUAGAGCAAGACUCUUAUCUCGAACAAAAUUAAAACAUGAAAAUAAAAACA